UACGUAGGGUGCAAGCGUUGUCCGGAAUUAUUGGGCGUAAAGAGCUCGUAGGCGGUUUGUCGCGUCUGCUGUGAAAACUCGGGGCUUAACCCCGGGCCUGCAGUGGAUACGGGCAGGCUUGAGUUCGGUAGGGGAGACUGGAAUUCCUGGUGUAGCGGUGAAAUGCGCAGAUAUCAGGAGGAACACCGGUGGCGAAGGCGGGUCUCUGGGCCGAUACUGACGCUAAGGAGCGAAAGCGUGGGGAGCGAACAGG
rnacentral:rRNA from 1 species